rnacentral:lncRNA from 1 species
AAAGCCAGCUGGCACAUCAAAAAGACACUCAGACAACCUAUGGAUAGGAUUGGGGGUUUUGCUCCAAAGGCCAACAGCCAGUGAAGAACUGAGGCCUGCUGCCAACCACAAGAGAGAGUCUAGAAGAGGAUUCCAGCCCCAGGCAAGUCUUGAGAUGACUGCAUCCCUGAUGGCCUGACCGCAAUUUUGUCAGUGACUUUGAGUCAGAAUCUCACAGGAACUGAGAGGAAGUUUGGCAUGCUUUAACGGCAUUUUAAGAAGUUAUCUGAGGGGCAGGCUUCUGGCAAACUGAGUGCUUCAGCUGCAGAGAAAAAGGACCCAGCUGCACCUUCUGUGAAACUGAAACUGGGGUCACUGGGAUGGGCCCUCCUGGAGUAGGAUGACAGGAGAGAUGGGAAUGCUGGGACCUGUGGGGGGAAGAAUAAUGCAGCUGCUAACAGCUGCCCAGAUGAAAGCAGUGAUGUUGCUAGGAGAAUAAAUAACAUCUGUUGACCUCUGGACAGCUCUUUGUGGUUUACAGAGCUCCUUUGCUUUCGUCAUUUCAUGACCAUCUUGCUCCAAAUGAGGGGAGUUGGGGUGAGAAUCUCCCCUUUACAAAUCACCAAAAUAAAGAUUCAGAGAUGCUGUGUGAUUUUCCUCGGGUCACACAGCUUGUUAGCAGUAUCAUUUGCAUAUGAUUUGCAUUCAAGUUUCCUAAAACCAUCCUUCCCACCCAAUUCCGCUUUCAUAUCUCCGGAAGCAGCCGGACCCAAGGAGGUCUUUCUGAGGAUAGGCUGCCAGAACAGCCUCAAAGGUGUCAUCUUAAUGCGAAGUCCACAGAGGAAAUGAGGAAGCAGAUGAGAGGUACAUGCAGAACUCACCAAAAGAACAGGGCAGCAAAUCCACCUCAGGUGAGACCCAGUUUCAAAGGACUAAGGAAGGGAAUGGCGGGGUUGAGCCUAGCUAGGAGGUAAAAGGAGAGGCUGCCUGGAGAACAGGGACUCUUUUCUUUAUUUGUGAGAAAAGCAAAUUUUGAAAGACAGACAUCAUUACCAGAAUGUGGGCAAAGCCCAACUAUGUAAUGGAGAUUAUAUGAAAACAGAAGGUUGGUAUGUAAUAUUUUUAAGUACGCAGGAGAGCAUCAAAACUGGAUACACUCUUGAUACUUAUUAAAGCUGACUUUUUUUAAGGGCAUUAUUGGGAAUGAAGAAAUUGAAUUUCCAGAUUUCUUGAGCCAGAUGACGGUCUUUGGCAUGUUUUGGGAAGCGUAAUCCCAGGCCCCUUUGAGUCCCAUUCCAGUCUCCAGUUGGAGCGUUGAGGCUGCUGACCAAACAGCCUGGUCUGGCUAUUUCCUGCAUAUCAACCAUGCCUUGGGCUCUUGGCUGUGCUUUUGUUUGGAUUCCAUAAGCUGCAGUGAGUAAUAUUCAUGAAUCCUAUUCUGAAGAUGUUAAUUACUCUUUAAGAGUACUAUUAUUGGAUAUCACAAACUUUUAAAAAAACUAGCCACAUAAGAGUUGCAAUCAGUCCC